rnacentral:rRNA from 1 species
AUUGAACGCUGGCGGCAUGCCUUACACAUGCAAGUCGAACGGUAACGCGGGGCAACCUGGCGACGAGUGGCGAACGGGUGAGUAAUGCAUCGGAACGUGCCCAUCAGUGGGGGAUAGCCCGGCGAAAGCCGGAUUAAUACCGCAUACGACCUGAGGGUGAAAGCGGGGGACCGAAAGGCCUCGCGCUGAUGGAGCGGCCGAUGUCGGAUUAGCUAGUUGGUGGGGUAAAGGCUUACCAAGGCAACGAUCCGUAGCUGGUCUGAGAGGACGACCAGCCACACUGGGACUGAGACACGGCCCAGACUCCUACGGGAGGCAGCAGUGGGGAAUUUUGGACAAUGGGCGCAAGCCUGAUCCAGCCAUGCCGCGUGCGGGAAGAAGGCCUUCGGGUUGUAAACCGCUUUUGUCAGGGAAGAAACGGCCUGAACUAAUACUUUGGGCUAAUGACGGUACCUGAAGAAUAAGCACCGGCUAACUACGUGCCAGCCGCCGCAGUAACAC